UACGUAGGGGGCAAGCGUUGUUCGGAAUUACUGGGCGUAAAGGGCGCGUAGGCGGCACGGCAAGUCGGGAGUGAAAGCCCGGGGCUCAACCCCGGAGGGUCUUCCGAAACUGCCGAGCUAGAGUGCGGAAGAGGCAAGCCGGAAUUCCCAGUGUAGCGGUGAAAUGCGUAGAUAUUGGGAAGAACACCAGAGGCGAAAGG
rnacentral:rRNA from 1 species